rnacentral:tRNA from 1 species
UUAAAGUUUUAUGAGAAGGUAUUGAAAGGUGAGCUAUUAGAUCUCCCCACCCCCUCUAAUCUGAACUUCUGGUUUGGU